rfam:Schistosoma rodhaini strain Burundi genome assembly, scaffold: SROB_scaffold0011699
GCACUGCUGAGGAGUCCCAUAAUAGGACGAAGCGGUCGUCCAGUGU